rnacentral:tRNA from 1 species
AAGGCAGAGGUCUGCAAAACCUUUAUCACCGGUUCAAAUCCGGUUGCCGCCUCCAGGUUUAUGCGGGAGUAGUUCA